CGAGCAAAACGAAUUUUAGUCCGAAUCCCCGAAACUAAGUGAGCUACUUCGAAACGUCUUAGAACAAACCCGUCUCUGUUGCAAUAGAGUGGGAUGAUUUCCAAGUAGAGGCGAUAAACCUACCGCACUUAGAGAUAGCUGGUUGCUCAAGAACAGAAUACAAGUUCAACCUUAAGUUUCUUAAUUAAAAAAGAAACCCUAAAAACUUAAGAGUUAUUCAAAUAAGGUACAGCUUAUUUGAAAUAGGAUACAACCUAUAAUACUGGGUAAAAAUUUUAGAGUCGAUAAUAAGUGGGCCUAAUAGCAGCCAUCUUCUAAAUAGCGUUAAAGCUUAAUUCUUUCUCUACCUUAAUACCUUCAUUUACCUUAAACCCGUCAUUAAUAUUGAGCAAUUUCAUAUACUUUAUGAAAAAUAUAAUGCUAGAACUAGUAACAAGAAAAACUUUCUCCAAAAUGUAAGCCUAAGCCACAAUAGAUAUACUACCGGCAAUUAACGUAAAUGACACUUCUAUAGUACCCCCCACAAGAAAAUCCUAUAACCCCUAACGCUAAUCUUACACUAGAACAUUAUUGGAAAGAUAAAAGAAAAAGAAGGAACUCGGCAAAAUUAACCC
rnacentral:rRNA from 1 species